UUUUUUUUAAUGAACAGUAACUGAACCCCACUUUCCUCGUUCGGAUAAACACGAUCUCCACCGCUUCUCUCGUGCGCUACACGUGUCCUAUGGAGUCGUAGAGGCAGGGGCUAUUUGGUGCAAUAUUUUCGCGCCAAUAGUUACCACAUGUCUAUAAAUAUGUCCCCAUCUCCCUCGUUAAAACCUUCCUUGUUCCUUCGCCCUCCUUCUAUAGCAAAGCUCC
rnacentral:lncRNA from 1 species